rnacentral:rRNA from 1 species
ACCGGCGGCUCGAGUGGUGGCCACUAUUACUGGGCUUAAAGCGUUCGUAGCUGGCUUGUUAAGUCUCUGGGGAAAUCUUCCGGCUCAACCGGAAGGCGUCUCAGGGAUACUGGCAGGCUAGGGACCGGAAGAGGUGAGAGGUACUCCAGGGGGAGGAGUGAAAUGCGGGAAUCCGUGGGGGAGCAACGAAGGCGGAGGAGGCUCACCGGGAAGGCUCCGAUUGUGAGGAACGAAAGCUGCGGCAGCAAACUG